rnacentral:rRNA from 1 species
UACGAAGGGUGCAAGCGUUACUCGGAAUUACUGGGCGUAAAGCGUGCGUAGGUGGUUUGUUAAGUCUGAUGUGAAAUCCCCGGGCUCAACCUGGGAAUGGCAUUGGAUACUGGCAGGCUAGAGUGCGGUAGAGGGUGGUGGAAUUCCCGGUGUAGCAGUGAAAUGCGUAGAGAUCCGGAGGAACACCAGUGGCGAAAGCGGCCACCUGGACUGUACCUGACGCUGAAACGCGAAAGCUAGGGGAGCGAACGGG